rnacentral:lncRNA from 1 species
CCAAGAUGCUGAUUUAUGCUGAACAAUUACUGUGUAGACAGCCGAUUGUGCUGCCCCGAUACCGUUCAUCCAUGCUGAAAGUGAAAGUUUUGCAGGAUACUUCUUCAAGGUAAAUGCCUACAGGGUUAACGUGUUUUCUAAAACUUUUUAUGGGCAGGUUUUCAGAUAUUUGUUGAUUGCUUUUACUUCAUUUAUGUUACUUCUGAAAUCAUGCUAUUUUCAAUCAACUAUGGACGGUAUACCAUUUGAAAGAAAGAAUCAAAAGCUUGUUGAAUGUUUUAGUACCUGCGUAAUGUAAAAACUAGACCAUAACAUGCGACUCGCAAGAGUCAGAAUUGAACCUUUCAACCAGUUCUCAAGAACAGAGUUAGUUCCAAGGUGGAUCGGAGCACCCUUCAAGCUUGCCACUGCAGGUCCUUUGUAGAAAGCUAUAACUAUAACCCCAACUAAGGAUGUUAAUGUUCCAACAAUUUUAGCUAUCCCACGAGGACUCCGAACACCAACAAUCUCUAACCUACACGAAGUUUGUUUACAAUGAUGUAGAAUAAUCUUCUACCACAUGUUGGAGUUUGAAGCUCAUACCUUAAUAUGACUGCAAUUAUGAAAGUCGUGCACGGGAUAGUAUUAAUAAUCGCUGUCAUGAAGGUUGGAGAGACGUAUCUCAUGCUUGCAAAAUACAGGUUGAGGGUUAAGCUCACCCUGUUUACACCACGAAAGAAAUAACGCAAGUCCCUUCAGUUUGUGGCAAACACUAGCUACUUUUGCAAUAUGAUGAAGAAUGGAACUUGGCAGCUCCACCCUUGAAGAGAAAGCAAAAACAUCUCCAGAAACAGCGAUAAGGUCAGCUUUGGCCUUAUUUUUCUGCAGGCAAAUAAGAAAGAAAAGAAUAAUAAUAAUAAAAAUAAAACCAAACAGAUAUAACAGCGAGUACUGGUUGGAAGCAGCAACAACUGAAUAUUUGAUGUUGAGUGUGUAGUGCACCUUUCAAGGAAAUAGGCAAAAGGAAACAUCACUAAGCUGCCCGCAGCAUGCCGAUAAGUGACAUAGAUGUGAGGAUUCAAGCCUUGGUUGAAGGAAGCUUCUGUUAAGAAAUAAACCGAUGCAACGCAUAUCUUCUGUUAAGAAAUAAAUCGAUGCAACGCAUAUCUGAAGCAAAAUCAUGAGAAUUUGUGGCUUAAAUCUAUUGAUCACCUUGACAGCACACAUCACAAUUGCCAUAGCUUCUCGGUGUGAGGUUGUUUGUUCUAUAUUUAUGGAUGCUGAUGAAAGAUUCGUCCUGGUUAUGCUUGUAAUAAGUGAGUUUCUUGUUCUUAUCAAAUUCCAACUUGGUGGUGGAAUGUUUAAAAAGUUGGUAAUUUGCAAUAUUCUGACAAAUCAGAACGGCACUCUGAAAAGACUACUGCUGCCCAAAAGAAAAGAAUAUGUUUCAGAGGAAGAAUAAGCACAAAUGCAGAAGGAGCUCAAAAACAUACGAGUGUUGGUAGAAGAAAGGUCACUUGAGUUUUCCCCCUACCGCCGUCUUAAUGAAAGAAUAGAACUUUUAACUUUGACCUUGCGAGCACCCACUCAAAAUAGGAAGGGCGAACUCUUAUCUCCCCCAUCUCCAGGACCUAUUCUAAUCGAAGCUAUAAGCAUCUUACCUCUUUCUUUAGGCGAGCUUAUUCACCAGUGCACUUAACUUAUUUAUUUGUCAAUCUUGAAUUGAUUCUUGCUCAUUGAAGCGUACUGUGUCAGUGGCCCGCCCUUUACUUUGAUCUCGACGUCAGUGAGUGGGUUUGCCCCGACCUUGACUUCCUUAGUUCAGUGUGGCAGAACGCGGGUUAAAACUUUAAGAAAGUUGGUUUUGAAUUCUGGUACUUACAUCCAUUUUUAACCAAAGAUAAAGUCUCAGGGAUACAGUACUAAUUAGAAUAAUGAGAGAGAGUUAAAAUUACACUUCUGGUAACCGGACACUGAAGUUUUAUUCUCCAAUCCAUGGUUGUAUUUCAUAGGCUGCAAUUACAUCUGCCCUAAUUACAUAUAGAUUUUAAUUGUGUGUUUAAUCUGCAAAAUUCAGAUUAAGAAAUCUGUCUUGUCGUUUCAAUACUUCUUACAAGAAGCACUUAUCUCUUCAAUGUCAGCAGAGAACCAGAUCAGUACCUAUUGUCUUUAAACAUAUUUGUAAAUAGUGCAGGGAGCACAAGUACUGCUGUAAUUGGAACCAGAAAUGUGUUUUAUUGGACUUGGUUGUUUAUUUUCUUCCCCACUAUCCUUUUGUGCGGUAUCAUUAAGUUAACACCAACUGUUUUCUGAAUGAGAAAGUUGAGAUACUUCCUCUAUUGGUGGGUGAAUAAAUUCUUGCAUGUUGACCCUUAAAUAGUGUGUGGGGUCUGCGUGUUUCUCUAUCCAUACAUGGUCAUGAGCCCUCGGCCAUUCAUUCAUAUUAGCAUUUUCGAUAACUCAUUUGAAAAAGUUGUUGAUGCCGAAAAUCCGGAUGAGUUAUUUAGUGACUCGAUCUUAGAUCUCUGCAUCAGCAUUAAAUUUAUUUGAUGGGAAGUCGUUGAUUAGUUAGCACCAUGAGCAUAUUUUCUAUGAGCAAACGAUCCAUGAGCAGACAACUCGUGAGCAGACGAUCCAUGAGCAGACAACCCGUGAGCAGACGAUCCAUGAGCAAGUAACCCAUGAGCAGACAACCCAUGAGCAGACAACCCGUGAGCAGACGAUCCAUGAGCAGAUAACCCAUGAGCAAAUGAUCCAUGAGCAGGUAACCCAUGAGCACAUAAUCUGUGAGCCUGUGAGCACAACCAACAGUCAGGAGGCGCCGGAAGUUUUUCCGGCGAGAACCCUCUGACGCUCAAGUCAGGAAUUUGGGUCUACUUGGAAAAACUCAUACCACAAUUCAUGUGGCUUAAUUAUGAUUGCUUUAAACAAAAAGCUUUUAAGUAAAUUUAAAGGAAAAGAAUUCAAAAUAAUCAAUCUUAAAGAAAAAGAAUUCACGAGAGAAAGAGAAAUUUCUCAGUGGUAGAGAGAGAAAACGAUCCUAUGGAUUUAAUCUCGCAGAGAGAGAGGAAAAAGAAAAGACUCCCCUUUCCUUCCUCUUCCCAGGGUUUUUAUAGGAAAUUAUAGCGGUUUUUAUCCUCUCCCCUAGAAUUUUUAAGAAAACUAUUAAUUUUCAGCCCACUAAGAAUAUGGUCCCUAAUAUUUCGGAGAAAAUGUUUUGACUAAGUCGUGCUUCCUGGUAAUCUCCUGGUCGAGGUGAUGUGCUCAAGGUGAUCAAUAACAUACUGGUCGAUGUGAUGUGCUCGAAGUCACUAAAUAAUAUCUUGGUCGAGGUGAUCGGCUCAACUAUUUGCUCACUUUUACUUUUAGGAGAGCACGAUAAUAUAUGAGCAAACACAUUUAUCUUGGUCAUUCUAUUUCAUUCCCUAAACAAAAGCCAUGUAACAAGAAUCAAAUUUUAAUGAUGCGAAAGUGAAUAUGAUCCGUGAAUGAUACAAACUCUCAAGGUAAUUUACUAUUAUCUAUUUUAUUUAUUUCAAUUUAAGUUGUUGGUUAAUUUUGAAUUUGUCAAAAGGUAGUUUUACUUAUUUUGUGGAAUCAUGCGUUAAGGCAUAGAUCAUGAUGUGAGGACAUGCUCGGUGUUUUUUUAUUUUUCGUAUUUGUAAUCCUUAGCUAAAUUGUACUCAAAGCCUAAUGUUAUUCAACCAAAAGUAUCUUGAAUAUUGUUUAGCAACUUGAUAAUUGUAUUUGGGAGGUGCAGGUCCUCGAUUUCCAAUAAUAUCAAUUGAGAGACCUGGAUUUCCUGAAAUUGUCCUAUUUCUUUCAAAGAUAUUUGUGUGAAGUAUUAGACUUAUCCUUCCAUGUGAUCGAUGUCAAUUCAAUUUGUCAAUGGGGUGGUGCCUCUCCUUUGUUUGCAAUAUAACAUACCAAAGGAGUCACUUGAACAAAGGUAUCUCAAGCUUAACACAAUCCGCACUCGCGAUGAAAUCUUCCCGGCCGAGGAUGAUGAAUUCAACAGCUUAUCUCAAACUCUUUAAGUCCAAACUUGAAUCUGUACUAAAAGCUAUCUGCAAGGAAUAUAGAGAAGGCUGUUGCAGCCUAAGGUUCUAAGUUGAAGAAAAGGAGAUGGAAAAGUUGUUAAUAUUGAAGUAAACAAUUUCAUUUAUUUUUCCCCAGAUAAGGGAGAAAGAGAGCCAGAUCCAGCCAUCUCACAAGCUAAGUGGCGGCGACAGAUGAUUGCUUCCCUGCCUAAGCCCUUCCACAUGAUUCAUUUCUUAUUGCAGUCGACCAAACGUUGAGUAAUUACAAUAGAGGAGCUAAGUCACAAGAUAAUUUCCAGCCAUCUUCAAAUUACUGAUAGGAGUAAGUCUUACGGUAGCAACUUAGUCACUUAGAUAUAAUUUUUUCCGGAAGGUUUAGACAAGGAAGCUCCGGAAUUUUGUUUACGGGAGAGGUUGAAGACCAGAUGAAUUCACUGCUGGAAUUAGUUCCAGAAUGGGCUUCUGAAAAGUUGUCAUCCUGUGGCAAUUUGCUUGUCCGGUGAGUUUUAUAAACACUUUACACUUCAUCAAAGAAUAUGCAUUCAAUCACAUGAAUUUAAUUAUAGAACACUAUUUAUUUCAGAUAGGGUGUUCUUAUUAUGUGUUAUCUUUAGGAGAAAACUUCAGAUUUCUGGUAGAUGAUGACAUUAUUUGUCUUUUGCAGCAUCAAUAAAAUGACACGUCCAGAAUCCAUUCGAGUACGGCUUGAAGAAGCAAAAUGAACAGAAGAUUGCUAGGGGGUAAUUAAUUUAACUGAAAGAACCAUAUUGAGGGACAGUGUCCAAGUUUCCUCGACAUUGGGCUUUUUGUAAAUAUUAAUAGUUUAUUUUUUAUGCAAGCUAAUCUCCAUAGCAUAAAACAGUCAGGCAGUGGACUUGAGUAUGUUAACUUGAUAGUGAGAUUGUAAAAACUUCGUUCUUCAUGAGGAUGAUUAAGCAGUGCUUUUUAUUCAGGAAGUUGUUGCUUUAAGGGGUUGACAAUAUGAAAGCCUAGAGAGAAUUGAAGACUUUGGUGCCUGGAUCCACUUUGUUCUUCCCAUUUAUUUAGUGUGCAUUUUCGGAUACAAUCCCGUAGACCAUUUAAAUAUGGCAUAAGGUUUGUCAAUGGAUAUCUGUUUCUGAUAAAGUAAAAGCAUGGUCAUCGGGUUUCUUCUGCUCGUCACAUGCUGGAAAAGAUUGCUUCUGGUUCUUGAUGCAAUGUUGAUCUCCUUCUUUGCCCCAUAACAGGGAGUACAGACCAAUAAUAACUAUCAGUCCUCCAAGUAUGCUGAAUAGCCGAAGUAAGAAUCAGAGAUCACAAAAACCAGUUUGUUCAUGCUUUACUGAAAGUGUGAAAAGAACUCUAGAAUUUACCAUCCGGUGUGCAGUUUUUCACCAACAAGAAAGUAUGCUGCAACUGCCACGAUUACUGUUGUCAGGGGAUUAAAUAUGGUCACAAAAACUGGUCCUUUCUGUUCAAUGCACCAUAGUUGAAUAAAGAGGUUUAAACAAGAAGAUACUGCUCCCUGUAGCAAAUCGAAAAAUUACUUAGAACCCAAGAUACGCAGUAAAUUUAAUUAAAUGAAUAAAUAAACUCUAUCCAGUUCUUGAUAAACUAACUCACAGAAUAUAUGAUGCACCACAGAUCGAUGCCAGAUGUAGUAGACCAAGCAGCUGCUUUAGGCUGUACAAUUAUUGUGUAGACAGCAGAUUGUGCUGCCCCGAUACAGUUCAUCCAUGCUGAAAUUGACAGUUUUGCUGGAUACUUCUUCAACGUAAAUGCCUACGGGGUUUACAUGUUCCGUGAAACUUCUGAAUAUCCAGGUUUUCAGGUAUUUAUGGGUUGCUUUUACUUCAUUUAUGUUACUUCUGAAAUCACUGCUAUUCUAAAUACAAUUUUGGACGGUAUACCAUUCGAAAGAAAAAAAUCUAAAGCUUGUUGAAGGGUUUGAUACCUGCAUAAUGUAAAAGCUAGACCAUAAUAUGCAACUCGCAACAGUCAGAAUUGAACCUUUCAACCAGUUCUCAUGAACAGAGUUAGUUCCAAGGUGGAUUGGUGCACCCUUCAAGCUUGGCACUGCAGGUCCUUUGUAAAAAGCUAUAACCAUAACCCCAACUAAGGAUGCUAAUGUUCCAAGAAUUU